rnacentral:rRNA from 1 species
CACCCCUUCCCAUCCCGAACAGGACCGUGAAACAGCUCCGCGCCGAUGAUAGUGCGGAUUCCCGUGUGAAAGUAGGUCAUCGCCAGGC